rnacentral:tmRNA from 1 species
UCUAUUUAAAUCUUAAUCAUUAGCCCUUAUAUAUAGGGUGUCGGGCAACCGACUAUGACAAUAAACUGGUAUAUGGAAUAAACGUUACGGACCCGGGGGCGGUACCCGGCGCCUCCACCAUUAAAACGAAAGAAUGUUUAUGGGGGCGAAAUAGGAUCGACGUGCGCAAUAAAGAUAUAACUUUUGUCCAGCAUGAUUCCGCUGUGACGGGUCAAUUCUUGUAAAUGCAAACGAUAACGAAGCAUUUGCUGUAGCAGCUUAAUAGUCUAGCUACGCGGGGUUCGGCAGGCACCUAGCAACAGAAGCCUGCCACU